UCGAGAAUCAUUCGCAAUGGGCGAAAGCCUGACGAUGCGACGCCGUGUGAACGAAGAAGGCCUUAGGGUUGUAAAGUUCUUUCGCUUGGGAACAAGAAAGGAAGAUGAAUAAUCUUCUGAUUUGAGGGUACUAGGUAAAGAAGCACCGGCUAACUCCGUGCCAGCAGCUGCGGUAAUACGGAGGGUGCAAGCAUUAAUCGGAUUUAUUGGGCGUAAAGGGCGCGUAGGCGGUUUAGAAAGUCAGAUGUGAAAUUCUGAGGCUCAACUUCAGAGCUGCAUUUGAAACUUCUAGACUAGAGGGUAGGCGGAGAAAACGGAAUUCCACGUGUAGCGGUGAAAUGCGUAGAUAUGUGGAAGAACACCGGUGGCGAAGGCGGUUUUCUAGCUUACACCUGACGCUAAAGCGCGAAAGCAAGGGGAGCAAACAGGAUUAGAUACCCCCGUAGUCC
rnacentral:rRNA from 1 species